UACGUAGGGGGCUAGCGUUGUCCGGAAUCAUUGGGCGUAAAGCGCGUGUAGGCGGUUCGGUAAGUCCGCUGUGAAAGUCGGGGGCUCAACCCUCGGAUGCGGGUGGAUACUGUCGAGCUUGAGUGCGGAAGAGGCGAGUGGAAUUCCUGGUGUAGCGGUGAAAUGCGCAGAUAUCAGGAGGAACACCAAUUGCGAAGGCAGCUCGCUGGGACGUUACUGACGCUGAGACGCGAAAGCGUGGGGAGCAAACAGG
rnacentral:rRNA from 1 species